rnacentral:tRNA from 1 species
AGUUAAAAAGCUACGCGACAAGCCUAAUGUCUUGAAAACAUUAUGAAAGAAGUUUAAAUCUUCUAUUAACUU